AAAUUCAGUAGAGGCGCGGUAUUUAUCAGUAAAUAUAUGGAUAUAUAUGGAGGUAGAUGAUAUGUGUUGAAAGGGGAUACCGCCGAAGGAAGCAGUUAUCCAUAGGGCUGUAACCUGGUUGUGCAGCGAAUAACUGUAUGACUGUCAUCGUCACAGAUGGAGGGCUACUUUUUCA
rfam:Clostridium sp. CAG:264 genomic scaffold, scf104